rnacentral:rRNA from 1 species
UACGUAGGGUGCGAGCGUUAAUCGGAAUUACUGGCGUAAAGCGUGCGCAGGCGGUUUUGUAAGCCAGAUGUGAAAUCCCCGGGCUUAACCUGGGAAUGGCAUUUGGGACUGCAAAGCUGGAGUGCGGCAGAGGGGACUGGAAUUCCUGGUGUAGCGAGUGAAAUGCGUAGAGAUCAGGAGGAAUACCGAUGGCGAAGGCAGGUCCCUGGGCUGACACUGACGCUCAUGCACGAAAGCGUGGGGAGCAAACAGG